AAGUCAUAACAAGGUUUCCAUAGAUGAACCUGUGGAAGGAUCAUUAGAAAAAUACACUUGGUAAAAGUAUGAAAACACUGGAUCCAGUACUGUAUAUAACCACCUAUUUACCUUUACCUGUUACUUCUAUGGAAUUACAGGUACUCUUCCUAUUCACAGGCUCGAGUUAUCUUCCAUAGGUGUAUUUAAAAAAUUGUUUUGUAUUAUUAUUUGAUUUAAAAUUUUAAUAAAAGUUAAAACUUUCAAUAACAGAUCUCUAGGUUCUU
rnacentral:misc_RNA from 1 species